AAUAUUGCGCAAUGGAGGGAACUCUGACGCAGCGACGCCGCGUGAGCGAUGAAGGUCUUCGGAUCGUAAAGCUCUGUCCUUGGGGAAGAAGGGAGCCGUAAGGCUUCUUGACGGUACCCAUGGAGGAAGCCCCGGCUAACUACGUGCCAGCAGCCGCGGUAAUACGUAGGGGGCAAGCGUUGUCCGGAAUUAUUGGGCGUAAAGCGUGCGUAGGCGGCUUAUUAAGUCUGACGUGAAAUCCCACAGCUUAACUGUGGAGGGUCGUUGGAAACUGGUAGGCUUGAGUACAGUAGAGGUAAGUGGAAUUCCAAGUGGAGCGGUGGAAUGCGUAGAUAUUUGGAGGAACACCAGUGGCGAAGGCGGCUUACUGGGCUGGAACUGACGCUGAUGCACGAAAGCGUGGGGAGCAA
rnacentral:rRNA from 1 species